UGUUUUGAGGGUGAUCUGGCUGUGACGUCUGUCACUCCAUUGGUCGCCAAGGUGAUUGGGCCCUUCCUCCCUCACUGCUCCAUGGGCAUCCUUCCUGAAGCUGCAAGUUCGGUGGAAGAGGAUGACUAUCUCAGAUUAGAAUGAAUGCACCGUUCUUCGGCCAAAGGCAUAUGAUAGCUGUGCUGCCCUUCUAGAACCUCCAAAUGAGCUCAAGGGCAUUGCAUGUCAUAAUUUAACCAUAGAGAAUCGUUUUAUUUGUAUAAGCAUCUAAAAUACAGAGAAUUAUAGUUGGAAUUU